rnacentral:rRNA from 1 species
ACGCACGCUGGCGGCGUGCUUAACACAUGCAAGUCGAACGGUGAAGGGGCCUGCUUUUGUGGGCCCUGGAUGAGUGGCGAACGGGUGAGUAACACGUGAGUAACCUGCCCCCUUCUUCUGGAUAACCGCAUGAAAGUGUGGCUAAUACGGGAUAUUCUGGGUCUGUCGCAUGAUGGGUCUGGGAAAGAUUGCGCCUUUGGGUGUUUUUGGUGGGGGAUGGGCUCGCGGCCUAUCAGCUUGUUGGUGGGGUGAUGGCCUACCAAGGCGGUGACGGGUAGCCGGCCUGAGAGGGUGGACGGUCACACUGGGACUGAGACACGGCCCAGACUCCUACGGGAGGCAGCAGUGGGGAAUAUUGCACAAUGGGCGCAAGCCUGAUGCAGCGACGCCGCGUGAGGGAUGGAGGCCUUCGGGUUGUAAACCUCUUUCGCCAGUGAAGCAGGCCUGCUCCUUGUGGGUGGGUUGACGGUAGCUGGAUAAGAAGCGCCGGCUAACUACGUG